CGGAUGAAAAAUAUAUUUCUCGAGCAACACUGCUUUGGCUUUCUUCGUGUGAUUUGCGUAACCUGGCAAUCAAUAUUAAUAAAUAAACAAAACUUCGAGCUAAUGAAAAACCUAUAGAUCAGUUGAAAUGUACUUGUACGGCUGUUUUGCUCUUAGUCAUAUGAUGAAUGCCACGGACAGCGAUAGUAUGCGACUAAUCGCUGCUGGGAAGACAACGCACUUUCCCAAUUUAAUAUCUGACUGUGUUUAGCAUACAGGAAACCAAAUGACAACUGGUGACGGCUCUGUUCGAAUAUUUUAGGUUUCCGGUAAUGAGCAAUUUGAUGGUUUUUUGCACAGUAACCUGAUCUAGAGAAGACUUCCUGAGGUAAUCGAACCUUCCAGACUAAAACGCUGCACAGAAACUUCGGCUUCUUUUUGUGAUUCUACCAUGGAUUGGGGUCUUUUUCUACAGCGAGAGUGCCAUUUCGCUGGUUGGAUUUACCGAGUGCUAGACCAGAACCGAUAUACAGAAUUUGAUUCCGGUAUUACUGGUUUCUCGAGCGAAACAGACCUGUGAUAGUAAAAUCGUAAACAAAUUUUGUAGUUCUUUCACGAGAUACCUUUGGCAGAUUCGUGAUCUAUCUGGUACUGGUGAAAAACGAUCUGACAAAGUGGAGUGGGAUGAGAUCAUUCUACAUUGAUAGGUUCCUGAUAAUAGAAUAUCUACCACCAGGCAAUUGUACACUAUACUACAAGGAUAAUAUAUUAGGUAUGAAAUGUGUAGUUACUUUGAAUAACAAGUUGCUCAUAUUUGGUACAGUUCAUAAAAGUUUCUUGUAAAUUUGA